UGUGAUGUUUACCGUUUUGGACAAGACAAACAAACCCGAUAUAGACAGCAAUGCUUUCAGAUGGUCCACAGAGACUGAGAUGUUUCUAAAUGCUGUUAGAGAAGCAACCGAAAACAGAGAUGUUUGGACAGGUGUGUGAGAAACAUGUCCUCCGCUGUAUCACAUAUUAAACCCUGGUCCAAAUGUGGAGAGGUUGAAUGUAUUUUUGAAUAGUUUUGUUUAUCAUAAUUAUUUAUUCCCAUUUGAAUAAACAAAUUUGAUAAAAAUAAUUAUUUACAUUUUGAUAUUUACAAGAUCUUCCUUGAUCUACCACGUUAUAGCAAUAUGGUCAAAAACAAAACAUGACCACAAAUCAGAGAAGUUUGUGCCAAGAUGACUUUAGUCAGUCCAAUAUGACAAAAUAAGAUCGGUCUAAAAGAAUGUUUUGGAAUUCAAUGAAAACCUGUCGACUUUUGUUUUCAUUACUAUUGUCAUUAUGCGACUGAUUUUCAAGAAUGACCUGAACUUCACUCCAAACGAACAACAACAACAAAUUAUCCAGAUAAUAUCAUUGAUGGAGAAUAUAAAAAAAUACAAAAAAGAAAAAUGAUAUAAUACAUGAUCUCUAAAGAAAUGUGGGUUUGUAUAAACCUGGCUCAAAUAUAGUCAAUGUAUAGUGUGAUUCUGAACACGGUUUGUUCUCAAUAUAGUGUGUUUAUAGUAAAGCAAUAUUUCUUUCAACCUUCAUCCUAUCUGUGAAUGUAAUUGUUCUUUAUUGAUGUAUUUGCUGCAGAUACACUACACAAAGUCAACAGCCAUCAGGUGGGGCACAAUGUCAUCUCUCUGUCCUCCAUCUGCCCUAUCCACUGGAGUAGGUGAGAUCAAUAGAGAUGAUGUAUGAGGCCGGCCGGUCUCUGACAGUUCAGAUGAGAGCUGAUCUCUGUGUGUGCCGCAGAGUUAACUACACGGGAGACGUCACAUGGCACCACCGUGUCUUCACCCACAAUCCUCCCUCUGAGUGGACAUGGACCAAAUUACAUGACCCUCAUCCUUGACCGGCUGAGGAGAGGAGGACACGCUGACCUUGAGGUAUUUUCCAGCUCAAAGGACCAUAACAGCCGUCGGGAGGGAGUGAAAGAGUAUGAUGGGUUGUGAUUUAAGAGUUUUAUGAGGCAGAGCAGGACAAUGGAAGACGUUUGGGACAGCAGGACUGACAGGCACCUCGAGGGGGGAGAUGUUGACUCUUGGCUCUUGUGAAUCUGUCAAGAGAAAUGUUAAUCGAGUCCAUUGUGAUGGUAUGAGGACAAGGUGAAAGCUCACAGCAGACAGACAGCGAGAGACUGUGACCACAUCACAGCCAGACAGAUCACUGCCGGAGGACGAGAGAAACGCUGCUGUGGGAUUCCAAGGACACAGACUGAAGACGGCUGUAAGAAACCACAGAUGGUGACCAGCUACCUGCAGGGAAGAAUCUUAAACUAAAAUGAGCUCUGCCUUCAGUGGGGGAUAUGAUACAAAUACCUGCCACAUCAGAAGUCAGGAACAGUCGUCCGCCGUUCUGUGACCCUCAGGCAAGGCGGUGGUCCACUUUUACAAAGACUUUAGAUCAUAUACAGCUUUCAUUUAACAUUUCUGAUUGGCCCUGGUUACUUUUUAAUGCCCCAAUAAUAGGAGUCCAUAAUGUGAAGCGUUUAUACAUUUUGUGUUAAACUACAUUUCCCAAUCACAGUGUUGACCAUAAAUAUCGAAAAAAUGUGACCUUUUAGAAACGUGUGUCCUUGUAAAUGCAAACACUCUUUUCUUUUAAAUAAUACAUGCCACAUACAGUAUAUUUAAGCAAAGUAUAUUUUAUAUACAGGAUGGUAAAUGUACUUAUUAAUAUGAUUUUGAAAUAAA